UUAGUGAGCCUGUGAUCUCUGUAUCAAGGCAGACUAGCUUGAUGGUGGAGUUAGUGGGUUGGGAAGCCAGGGGAAGAGCAGAGUCUGGAGGAGGAGUGAGACACCAGAUUGAAUUGUACCCAGAGACAGGAUGAUCCCAGGGCCGGCUCCUGGAUUGGCUGAGUGUCAAAGACCGCUUCAUGGAGAGAUCCACAGAAUAGCAACCCAGGAGAGCUCUCAGGGCUAGCACCCAAGGUGCCCUUUGCCUUCUACCAGUGUACAUUUGGAUAUGCUCAGAAUUCAACUGGACAAGGUUUGGAGCAAUCUACUGUAAUUUAGCCUGGCCUUGAGUGGGGUGUUGAUCAAGAUGACCUCUGUACCUCCCUUCCAGCUUGUUUCAUUCUGUGUUUCUACAGUUUUAGUACC